AGUGAACGCUGGCGGUAGGCCUAACACAUGCAAGUCGAACGGCAGCACAGUAAGAGCUUGCUCUUACGGGUGGCGAGUGGCGGACGGGUGAGGAAUACAUCGGAAUCUACUUUUUCGUGGGGGAUAACGUAGGGAAACUUACGCUAAUACCUCAUACGACCUACGGGUGAAAGCAGGGGAUCUUCGGACCUUUCGCGAUUGAAUGAGCCGAUGUCGGAUUAGCUAGUUGGCGGGGUAAAGGCCCACCAAGGCGACGAUCCGUAGCUGGUCUGAGAGGGUGAUCAGCAAAACUGGAACUGAGACACGGUCCAGACUACUACGGGAGGCAGCAGUGGGGAAUAUUGGACAAUGGGCGCAAGCCUGAUCCAGCCAUACCGCGUGGGUGAAGAAGGCCUUCGGGUUGUAAAGCCCUUUUGUUGGGAAAGAAAAGCAGCAGGUUAAUACCCCGCUGUUCUGACGGUACCCAAAGAAUAAGCACCGGCUAACUUCGUG
rnacentral:rRNA from 1 species